rnacentral:rRNA from 1 species
UACGAGGGGGGCAAAUGUUGUUCGGAAUCACUGGACGUAAAGGGAGCGUAGGCGGGUUUUUAAGUCAGGUGUUUAAUCCCGGGGCCCAACCCCGGACAGGCACUUGAAACUGGGAAUCUUGAAUAGUGGAGAGGUCGGUGGAAUUGGGGGUGUAGCGGUGGAAUGCGUAGAGAUCCCCAAGAACACCCGUUGCGAAGGCGGCCGACUGGACACAUAUUGACGCUGAGGCUCGAAAGCAUGGGGAGCAAACAGG